AGCGAACGCUGGCUGCAGGCCUAACACAUGCAAGUCGAACGGAUCCUUCGGGAUUAGUGGCGGACGGGUGAGUAACACGUGGGAACGUGCCCUUUGGUUCGGAACAACUCAGGGAAACUUGAGCUAAUACCGGAUGUGCCCUUCGGGGGAAAGAUUUAUCGCCAUUGGAGCGGCCCGCGUCUGAUUAGCUAGUUGGUGGAGUAAAGGCCCACCAAAGCGACGAGCAGUAGCUGGUCUGAGGGGAUGAUCAGCCACAUUGGGACUGAGACACGGCCCAAACUCCUACGAGCGGCAGCAGUGGGGCAUCUUGCGCAAUGGGCGAAAGCCUGACGCAGCCAUGCCGCGUGAAUGAUGAAGGUCUUAGGAUUGCAAAAUUCUUUCACCGGGGACGAUAAUGACGGUACCCGGAGAAGAAGCCCCGGCUAACUUCGUGCCAGCCGCCGCCGUAACAC
rnacentral:rRNA from 1 species